ACGAGCCACAUGCAGGGAAACUUGCACGUGUGGUUUUGGCCGGGGACCCCGGU
rnacentral:ncRNA from 1 species